AUUGGGAGAGCAUAUAAAAAAUAAAUAAUUUGUUAAAUUGUGACACACUAAUGUUAAAUAAAAUGAGAUCGUCUUGAAAACAUCAAUGAAUAGACUCAUUGAGAGGUUCCGUUCAAAAUGAUGGAAAAGAAAUCAAAAAGGAUAAUGAACUCGAGAACUUAGAGGAAUUACUGCGAUGAACUAGCUUGAUGAGGAAAAGAGAAAAGAGUUCGGAAAAGGGAUAGUCUUGAGUCAGUUUAUAGAGAGAGCUUGAAAAGAAAGUUUGCAGAAAGCAUUUUUAUUGUUUAGAAUAUCCGACUAAAUAAGUAAAAUGUGGAUAUUUGUUGAGGAAAAAGUGAUCGGAUACGACACCUGUUUUGCCGUGUAUGCAAAAGGACCCACACGGAAAAAUUGAGUUAUUCAUAAAAUGUGUUGAGAAUACACCUGCAUUGAGACUAAUCGAUUGGUGCUCAAAAUUUGUAUAUCGCCAAUUCAAUUUUGAGUAGAUUUGGGUUGCCAAUAUACAAAUGAAAACUAAAUCACGAUUACGCAGCUCUGUAUAAAACGUUUGUUGUUGUUGGGAUUCUAUUUGAAGGGAUGUCUCAUGUGAAAAAAAGAAAAAUCGCGUUAGCUUUUUAACGGGGGUUAAGAAACAUUCAAAUUUUUUUGACUAAAAUGGUCUGUUUGUUGAUGAAUGUGAUGAUUUUUAACUUGUCUUUCGCAGAUAACGUUGAUUCUGGUCAUUUGUGCUUCGGAAAUCCAACGGUACGAAGCGUACAGAAACUUCCGGAACAGGGAGACAUUGUUUGAAAAAGAGCUGAUAUGGUCUUCCCGGACAGCCAUUUAAUCAGAUGGAACAAAUCAGAUCAUAAAUAUGAAUAGGCAAAUGGGCUCGGCCGUUGUCGAAAAAUUGAAUCCCGUCGCAAAUCAACAGAAGGACCAUCACAUAACGAAGAAGGUGAACAAAAAAAGAAUGACCCGGCAAAGAAAAUGGUACCAGGGAAUAUUUCACUCCAGCCAUAUGAUCAGAGUAGAUGUCGGACUUACAGCUUUGGAACGAAAUAGCAAGAGCUCAAGACUUGAUACGUAAAAUACUUGGCACAAGAAAAAGAACUACUGAUUGGAGCAUUCCGUUGUGUUCAAUCGAGCUACCGAGAAAACAGGGGUUAAUAUUAUCUUUUUGUACAUGGACUACUCCGAAACGCCGGAUGCUUACUUUUAUUUGUGGCACUACAACACCCCAUUGAAGAACCUGGGUGAGCUGAGAGAACGGCACGUAUACAUUUUUUUUCCUAUCUGUGCUCUGGAAACGGUCCGAGGUUGUGGUUGGUGAGAAUCUGAUGCUAAAGCCUCGUUUCCCAUUCCAGUGUAGUUCGGACACUGCUUGUAGGCGCCGAGUGGUCACAUGUGCGACAUUUCGCUUUUUUUCU